UCUAGCUACCAGCCAGCCCCUCACUGGCUCCAUCAUCUAAAGUGUUAAAAAAAGAAAAAGAAAGAAAGAAAGAAGGGCUCUUGGGUCCCACCAUAAGAGCGCAUAAAGAGAAGAGGUACAAUGACCGUCUUCUGCCAUUGUAGGGCUCCCUAAUUUAUGCAUCGUUAGAUCCUUUAAAGCAUCAUUUUGUAGGCAACCUAACGGACACUUCCAAAUUAGCUCAAAGUAUCCAAAUCCAAAGAAGAGAGACAACACAGAGAGAUACUGACUAACAGAGAUGCUGGCUUGAUGUGUUUGGGGUUUACAAUGGAAUUACUGGGUAAAAGAACUGCCCUUGUAAUCUUGCAACAUAUUUCCAAGUUCUUUCCUGGCUCCCACUAUAUAGAUCAGUCUGACUUAGAGUUCUUGAUCCCCCUGCUUCAGCAUUUCAAGUGGUAUGAUUACAGCUGUAAGUUAAUGGAGCCGCAUUUGGGACCACGGGAGGCAGAACCCAUCUCGUCACCUGCUCAGCACCUAGUCAUUCGGACUUCUGUUUUUAUCACAUGUGUUCCCCAUAAUGUCUUUCCCUCAUUUUCUUCAUUGUAAUCAUGAUGAACACAGAUGUUAAGAACAUAGCAUUUCUUCAUUUGAGUUCCUCUUUUGUUCUUUGAAUUAUACAUGCUGCUCUUCCUGAAGGAUUGUGUUACAAAAGAAUGGAAAUCUUCAGACAGUGUGUGUAGUACAUUAUAAUUUCAAGAGGCUUCGUGUUUGCAAGAGACAAAUUAAGCAGCCUGCCUAAUGUGUAGACAACAUCUGUUACACAGAGUCUCCAUUAAUGAUAACACCGGGAUCUCCUUUGUGGCUGAGUUUCAUCCAGCUGCACCUACCCAUAAAAGGUGCCAACAAAGAAGCUGCGUACUUAGCUGUCAGUUCAGAAUGACUUGGGAAAACAGCACAUAAAUCCAAAGUGAAUCUUUGUUAACCUUUGAAAUCAGAACUUCAUUAAUCAUGGUGAAGGACAGCUUAUAAUCUCUUCACAGUCAAUGUACCAUCUCCAGGCAAUGUUUGGUAAGACACUCCCAAGACUGGUAAUGCAGAGGAAAGCCACACACCAAAACAAACAAACAAACAAAAACAAAAGCAAAACAAAACCAAAAAACAGCUUUAUGGUGUCACCUACAAAGGAAUCAACUCAGCCAUAGGUCCAGCAAUUACAAGUUCUUCCAAUGGUUACUUCCAGACAGCAUUCCCGCCCACACUAGCAGAUCUGUUACUAAAUUAGUAAAAACAAAAUUCCCAGGUCUGGGUAUAGUUUAAUUUGAUGAACUUUCAUUAUUUACUUGGAUUAAACAUUACAGUUGCCAAGUGAAAGACAUCCAGAAAACUAGUGGGAAAACUGCCCUUUGCCCAUAAGAAUAAGUAAGAACUAACUGUCUCACAAUUUAGUUGUGAAGUGCAUUCUGUUAUAUUUCAAAGUUUUUGUUGUUGUUAUUGUCAUGCAUGAACCCAUGGCCUUGUGCAUGGUAGGCAAAAGUUCUACCACUGAGCUAACAUCCCCAACCCAACACUGUAACACAUUUUCUUUCCUGGGUUCCUUUGUGAAUAUGUAUUUUAUUGUAUAUUAGUCAACUUACUUGAUGCCUACUUCUGUACUUUGUAUUUUGGGCUUGAUAGUAGGUACUAAGAAUAUGCUGAGGAGCAAAACAAAGUUCCCACUCUCAGAUAGUUUUAUUAACCAUAUGGAGGAUAACAAAUGACUGCAUUUAUAAACACAAGAAGAUUGAUGGUAAUGGCAUAGUAAAUUCCGUGUUCAAGGAAUAUUUGUCUGAAAUCAUAAAUUAAGGAAACACAAGAACAGUGUGAACUUUCAGGGAAAGGUGAGGGCUAGGGAAUAGCAACUGCAUGGGCUGCAAACCUGGCAAGUACAGGUAACAGCACAGAAGUUUGCCUGGCUGGAUGGUGAUGCAAGAGAAACGUGACAUGACAGCAAUUGUGAAGUUUGGAGUUUCCAAUCUGUGAUUGGUUGGCUCCAUAGCUUUGGAGCCUGUGGUGAGACAACAUACCCAUGCUGAGAAUGAGAAGUGGAGUGAAACCACUCAACUCCUGGUUAGGAAGCAAAGGAGAAGAAGGGGAAGGACCCAAAUCCUAUAUUGAGGCAGUGCUCUCAAUGACAUGACAGCCUUCCAGAGACCUCACCUAUUACAAAUUCCACCUCUUCCUCACAGUGCCUACUGGGGACCAAGACUUCAACACAUGGGGAUUUCAGAGAGAUUCCAGACCCAACUUCUAGCUCCACAGAAUGCUUGUAAAAUCAUGUGUGUCCAUGCAUCUGUUGAAGAAGCUGAGAACCAGUGGUCUAGAUGGAAUUAGAGUUCCAGCUGCAAAAUCUCAGUCUCCUCAGUCUAUUAAUAUAUCUUAAGGGUAUUUCAUUUUUGUUUUCAAUUUUUUAGAUUUAUUUUAUUUUAUAUGUAUGAGUGUUUUGCCUAUAUGUAUGUAUGUGCAGCACAUGUGUACCUGGUACCCAUGGAGGGCAGAAGAGGAGGGGUCACUCCUGAAACUAGAGUAAUGGAUAGUUGUGAGGUACUGUAAGUGCUGGAAAUCAAACCCAAGUCCUGUGCAAGAACAAGUGCCUAACUGCUGAGACAUCUCUCUGAUUCCAAAUUUUAAGUUUUUACAUUUUAUUUUUAUUUUUGGAUUUUUGAGAGAGUCUCACUGUGUAGCCCAGGCUUUCCUGGAACUCUCAGGCCUACCCUAGUCUCUCUGAUGCAUGGUAGGACUGUAAGUGUGUAUUGCCGCAACCUGUUUUAAUUAGUAGAUCUUUAAAUGAGUGAUCUGAUUGUUUAUUGACUCGUUUCCUUUCUUCAUCAUUACCAAAAACAUUCUCAAGACUCUGUCUCAUCAGGUAAAUUGUAUGACAUUCUUCAUCCCUUUCUGUUUUGUGUCUUUUGCCCUUGACACAUGACAAUGGAUGAUACACAAGCUAUAUUCCUUUCUAUUAUUUUGUCUGUUACCAUCAUUCAAUUUUGAUAUUGCAUAGGAUAUGCCAGCAACAAUUUUUCUAACCAAAUAAUUCUGUGACUUUGUUCGGGUGACGAUUUAAAUGGUGAAACUCAUUAAGGUCACAACAGUAACAUAGCAAUUUAAGUACACUAAGGUUUCUCAAGAUAAUAACUUCUUAAUCCAAACAGUCAUAAAUAAGUUUCAAAUGGAACAUGGCAUCACCCUGAAGGAAUUUUAACUUCAGACUGAUGGAAAAGUUCACCAAGUUGGCUUCAAAGUAGACUAACUUUACAUAGCACAUUUAAAAAAUAAAGAGAUUUAUUCAGCAUCAUGAUCAGGAUACUAUAUUUAGCAGUCAACAGUAUGGGUGAAAAAAGUCUACAGUAAAACCCAUUAUUUGUAGAUACUUAACACUUUCUACAGAACAUAAACUAAAAUAACCAGUUAUUCAGUUAGUUGCAAAUUUGGCUCUAAAGGGUAUUUCGCCCAUAUCAUAAGAACUGUCUAAACAUAUCUUCUUUAUAGACUCGAGGCACUGCCAUCACUCUGUUUGAUGAAUUCACAAAUCUGUUGUGACCUCUAUUCCCUGUCACUCUCUGGCUUUCUUUAUGCUAGGCUCCCCAUUCCUGGCAAGAAUUAGAACCUUUCAGCUACUACUGCUGGAACUACCAGAACCACCUUGGUUUUGUGACUUAAAGGAUUGGCCUCCACUACCAUAAGAGGUAGAACUUUUGCCUCCAAAGUUUCUCCCCUUCAUUGCUCCAAAAUUUGAAGACUGGUUGUUGUAAUUGCCAAAAUCACCAUAUCUUCUAACAUCUCCAAAAUUGCUUCCAUCAUUACCAUCCAUGAUAGCCAUCUCCACUGCCACAAAAUACUGCACCACAACAGCAGCCACCAGAGGCACCAGGACCACUGAAGCGUCCUCUGUAACCAAAAUUUUCACUGCUACCAAAACCACUUACAUGACCACUAUCCAAGUUUCUGGAAUCACUUUAACCUAACCUCUUUGGCUGGAUGACACACCAGCCAUUUUGUGCUUGACAGGCCCUUUCUUACCUCACAGCUAUAACCAUUCAUAAUAUUGUGUUUCUGGAUGACAAUAUUAUCCACAGGGUGAUGGUUCAUCAAAAGUGACAAAGGUAAAGUCCCUCUUUUUUCCCACUGUCUUCUGUCAGUCAUGAUUUCAGUCACUUCAGUUUUGCCAUACUGUUCAAAAUAAUGUCAGAAGUGAUGUUCUUCAGUGUCUUCUUCAAUACCAACUGCUAUGUAUGUCAAAUUGCUCUGAUUGGUCAAUAAAUAAAACACUGAUUGGCCAGUGGCCAGGCAGGAAGUAGGUGGGACAAGGAGAGAGGAGAA